rnacentral:rRNA from 1 species
UUUCUUCGGAGAACGAGUAAAGUGGCGCACGGGUGAGUAACGCGUAAGUAAUCUACCCUUGCAUUUGGGAUAACUACGGGAAGCUGUAGCUAAUCCCGGAUNCNUUCAUAGAGUUACGACUCUAUGAAGAAAGAUGACCUCUUCUUGAAAGUUAUCGUGCAGGGAGGAGCUUGCGUACCAUUAGCUAGUUGGUAGGGUAAUGGCCUACCAAGGCGACGAUGGUUAGCGGGUCUGAGAGGAUGAUCCGCCACACUGGAACUGAAACACGGACCAGACUCCUACGGGAGGCAGCAGUGAGGAAUAUUGCGCAAUGGGGGAAACCCUGACGCAGCGACGCCGCGUGGAUGAUGAAGGCCUUCGGGUCGUAAAAUCCUGUCAGAUGGGAAGAAAUGUAUGUGGGAAUAAUACCUCUUGUGC